UGGGGUUUGGAUGGCAUUGUGGAGGUUCGUCCGUUGGGAGAGUCUUGAGGACACUGUUGAAGGUCGAAUGUCGGAGGAGUUCGGGAUUCAAUUCUGCUGUAGAAGUUUGGACGAAGACCGACUAUCGUGGAAGCUCGAAUGGAGACUUCUUAUUGUAGAAGUCCCACUGCUAGAGAAGCUCGGACAUUGAUGAAGUUCGAAAGAAGUUUGAAGUAAAGAUCCGAC
rnacentral:lncRNA from 1 species